rnacentral:rRNA from 1 species
GAUGAACGCUGGCGGCGUGCCUAAUACAUGCAAGUAGAACGCUGAAGGAAGGAGCUUGCUCUUUCCGGAUGAGUUGCGAACGGGUGAGUAACGCGUAGGUAACCUGCCUGUUAGCGGGGGAUAACUAUUGGAAACGAUAGCUAAUACCGCAUAACAUUAGAUGUUGCAUGAUUUCUACUUAAAAGGUGCAAUUGCACCACUACCAGAUGGACCUGCUUUGUCUUAGCUAGUUGGUGAGGUAACGGCCCACCAAAGCCAACAUACAUAGCCGAACUGGGAGGGGGAUCGGCCACCAUGGGAAUGAGACAAGGCCCCGAAUCCUACGGGAGGCAGCAGGAGGGGAUCUUCGGCCAUGGGCGGAAGUCUGACCGAGCAAAGCCGGGUGAGUGAAGAAGGUUUUCGGAUCGUAAAGCUCUGUUGUAAGAGAAGAACGAGUGUGAGAGUGAAAAGUUCACACUGUGACGGUAUCUAACCAGAAAGGGACGGCUAACUACGUG